rfam:Clostridiales bacterium 59_14 Ley3_66761_scaffold_9905, whole genome shotgun sequence.
UUGAAUAUUUAGCAAAAUGACCGAAAGGUUAUGACGCAAAGCUAUAGGGCCUGUAAAAUGGCAGCCAGUUGCACAU